UACGUAGGUGACCAGCGUUGUCCGGAUUUACUGGGUUUAAAGGGUGCGUAGGUGGGUAGGCAAGUCAGUGGUGAAAUCUUCGGGCUUAACCCGGAAACUGCCAUUGAUACUAUUUAUCUUGAAUACUUUGGAGGUAAGCGGAAUAUGUCAUGUAGCGGUGAAAUGCUUAGAUAUGACAUAGAACACCAAUUGCGAAGGCAGCUUACUACACAGUUAUUGACACUGAGGCACGAAAGCGUGGGGAUCAAACAGG
rnacentral:rRNA from 1 species